rnacentral:rRNA from 1 species
GACGUAGGGCGCAAGCGUUGUCCGGAUUUAUUGGGCGUAAAGAGCUCGUAGGCGGCUUGCCACGUCUGCCGUGAAAACCAGCAGCUUAACUGUUGGCUUGCGGUUGAUACGGGUUGGCUGGAGUUCGGUAGGGGAGACUGGAAUUCCUGGUGUAGCGGUGAAAUGCGCAGAUAUCAGGAGGAACACCAAUGGCGAAGGCAGCACUCUGGGACGUGACUGACGCUGAGACGCGAAAGCGGGGGGAGCAAACAGG